GGUAAAAAAGCUUCGUAGUUGGAUUCUCUGUUGAGAGCGACCGGUCCAUACCAUGUAUGCGUAUCUGGCUUGCUCUCGGCAUCCUCUCGAUAGACGUUGCUGCGCUUGAUUGCGUGGCGCGGAUCUCGGGACUUUUACUUUGAGGAAAUUAGAGUGUUCACGGCAGGCUUUCGCCAGAAUACAUUAGCAUGGAAUAAUACUAUAGGAUCUUGGUUCUAUUUUGUUGGUUUCUAGAAUUGAGAUAAUGAUUAAUAGGGACAAUUGGGGGCAUUCGUAUCAACACGUCAGAGGUGGAAUUCUUGGAUUGUGUUGCGACGAACUACUGCGAAAGCAUUUGCCAAGGAUGUUUUCAUUGAUCAAGAACGAAAGUAAGGGGAUCGAAGACGAUUAGAUACCGUCGUAGUCUUUACCAUAAACUAUGCCGACUAGAGAUGGGGCAUCGUUCAUUUACGACUUGCUCCGCACCUUAUGAGAUAUCAAAGUUUUUGGGUUCCGGGGGGAGUAUGGUCGCAAGACUGAAACUUAAAGGAAUUGACGGAAGGGCACCACCAGGAGUGGAGCCUGCGGCUUAAUUUGACUCAACACGGGGAAACUCACCAGGUCCAGACAUAAUAAGGAUUGACAGAUUGAUAGCUCUUUCUUGAUUUUAUGGGUGGUGGUGCAUGGCCGUUCUUAGUUCGUGGAGUGAUUUGUCUGCUUAAUUGCGU
rnacentral:rRNA from 1 species